UACGUAGGGUCCGAGCGUUGUCCGGAAUUACUGGGCGUAAAGAGCUCGUAGGUGGUUUGUCGCGUUGUUCGUGAAAACUCACAGCUCAACUGUGGGCGUGCGGGCGAUACGGGCAGACUAGAGUACUGCAGGGGAGACUGGAAUUCCUGGUGUAGCGGUGGAAUGCGCAGAUAUCAGGAGGAACACCGGUGGCGAAGGCGGGUCUCCGGGCAGUAACUGACGCUGAGGAGCGAAAGCGUGGGGAGCGAACAGG
rnacentral:rRNA from 1 species